UGAUAUGGAUGAAGAGCAUGAAGAGUUUGAAUAGACCGUUUUUGCAAUUUUACUUAAUGGUUGGUAGAAAAUAAUGUGUUGAUUUAAAUGUGUUUUGUUGAUUUAUUAAUUGUGUUGAUGAAUUAGUUGUAUAUGUUGUGUUAAUUUAUUAUACGUGUAUUCUCUCAAAAUAAAUAAAAAACCACCUCGAACUGAUAAGGGUAAGGGUAAGAAGACCUAACAUCAGCACCCGAGGGUAACAGUAUGUGAGGCACCUCAGUUGGCCAUGUGUC
rnacentral:lncRNA from 1 species